ACACAGUAAAUACGAAACAAAAAAAAAAAAAGAAAAAGAAGAAGGAAUUCAAAACAC
rnacentral:ribozyme from 1 species